rnacentral:sRNA from 1 species
UUGGAAAUAACAGGUUUGUUAGUUGUUUCAUGAGAAAGGGGAAGGAAAUUGCUUGGGUGUUUAAAUCGCUUGCAAUCAAUCCCCGAAUUGCCGGUUGUUAAAAUGAUAAACGUUCUUCAUGGAGUUCAGUCAAAUUCACCUGAGUAGUUGCUGGUGAGGAUGGAGCUGGUAUUUAUGGUGCAGAUGAAGCAAAUGGUGUCUCAAUUAGAACUGAAUUAGAAUUCAAAUAAAUCUAAAACUUUAUUUUUCUUA